rnacentral:rRNA from 2 species
GGGCGUAAAGCGCGCGCAGGCGGCUUCUUAAGUCUGAUGUGAAAGCCCACGGCUCAACCGUGGAGGGUCAUUGGAAACUGGGAGGCUUGAGUGCAGAAGAGAAGAGCGGAAUUCCACGUGUAGCGGUGAAAUGCGUAGAGAUGUGGAGGAACACCAGUGGCGAAGGCGGCUCUUUGGUCUGUAACUGACGCUGAGGCGCGAAAGCGUGGGGAGAGAACAGGAUUAGAUACCCUGGUAUUCCACGCCGUAAACGAUGAGUGCUAAGUGUUAGGGGGUUUCCGCCCCUUAGUGCUGCAGCAAA